AGGCUGAGGGAGUACAAGCCGAAGGAAAGAAAAAAUCUUUUGCCUUUUACUAAAGAUUUCCGUGGAGAGGAACAUCAAUGACUGAUGUAUUGUGAGUUUUGCUCUGACAAGGCU